UGUUUCGGUGAAGCUCGUAGCGAUAGGACGCGGCCAACUGGCAACGCUAUCCAGCAUUCUUUCUGCUUCGUCACCGUCGUCGUCGUCGUCGUCUUUUGUGAUUUUCGUAGUAGUUGUUGUGCUCCCUUUAACCCCAUUGUCAACAUAAAAAUCGAAAGGAAGUGGAUGGUGACGAGUGAGGAAUAAACAAGCAACAUUGUUUUCGCACUGAAAGUGCAGUGAAGCAUUAAGUAACAGCAAGAAAUGUGUGCGUGCUAGUGUGUUUGUGUGCAUAAUGGAGGAAAAAUAACGCAGGAAAACAAACAACAGUCGAAGGAGGAGAAGCAAAAGAGAGAAGAAGGAAAGGAACCCCAAGGCCACUCAGGAACCAUCGUCCUAUCCGCGCUCAAACACCUCCAACGGAGCUCUGCCUCUGCCAGAGCUUCGAUACCGUGCACGAACCGCGUUGGGAUCAGCGUUGGCCACGCCAAACCACCGACACCGAGUGCAUCGUGAUGAAAAAUCGAUCAACCAAGGACGACAACGAACCGCAGCAGGCGUGGCGUGUGGCGUGAGUGUACGGUGUGUGUUCCGUCCGUUCGGUGUAACGCGCGACGCACCGCGACGGGUAUAAGUGAAUCCUCUGAUUAAUUGAUAUCCGACGUGACCACUGAAGCAAGUGAGAGCGAGCGCGUGUGCCCAUCGAUUCUGCAUACUGUAAAGGUGAAAGUGUUGGUCGACUAAUUGGUUAAGCCAACAGGAAGCAGCCAACCAGCGCCAUGAUCGGCGUGGAUAACGAACGGUUCAUCAGGAGUCACCGCUAGUUAUGUUGUUGUUGGUUGCAAGUGCCCGGAAGGAGCGUCAGCCCGGUGGUUACUGCCGUAGAAGUGGUUGUUGUUGUUGUU